rnacentral:rRNA from 1 species
AACGAACGCUGGCGGCAGGCCUAACACAUGCAAGUCGAACGCCCCGCAAGGGGAGUGGCAGACGGGUGAGUAACGCGUGGGAACGUACCCUUCGGUUCGGAAUAAUCCAGGGAAACUUGGACUAAUACCGGAUACGUGCGAGAGCAGAAAGAUUUAUCGCCGAAGGAUCGGCCCGCGUCCGAUUAGCUGGUUGGUGAGGUAACGGCUCACCAAGGCGACGAUCGGUAGCUGGUCUGAGAGGANGAUCAGCCACACUGGGACUGAGACACGGCCCA